UACAGAGGUCUCAAGCGUUGUUCGGAUUCAUUGGGCGUAAAGGGCGCGUAGGCGGUCGUGACAAGUCACUUGUGAAAUCUCCGGGCUUAACUCGGAACGGUCAAGUGAUACUGUCGGACUAGAGUACAGAAGGGGCAACUGGAAUUCUCGGUGUAGCGGUGAAAUGCGUAGAUAUCGAGAGGAACACCUGCGGCGAAGGCGGGUUGCUGGGCUGAUACUGACGCUGAGGCGCGAAAGCCAGGGGAGCGAACGGGG
rnacentral:rRNA from 1 species